rnacentral:rRNA from 1 species
GACUUAACUUGACUAGUCCGAUAGGAUUUCUUGUCGUGUGCUUUUUAAGUUUGUCAUCCUUCUGGAAAUUGAAAUUGCGCUUCACUGUGUUGAUUUCAUGAUCCAGAUCUUUUACUUUGAAAAAAUUAGAGUGUUUAAAGCAGGCUUUUGCUAUGAAUACAUUAGCAUGGAAUAAUAAUUUAGGACUUUGGUUCUAUUUUGUUGGUUUCUAGAACUGAAGUA